CUAAGUUUUGCAGGUUCAGGUUGUUUCCCUGUUUCUAAAGUUGCCAAGCUAAGAUGUGACCAUGAAAUUUUUGUACAGGUUAAUAUGGUCCACUGUGUAGGAUGAUUGGCUUUACAGGAUGUGCAGGUUAUGGAUCCAGAAGAACAUUUGAAGACGAUGCACGUGGCAAAGACGUCAUUGGCUCACUUUGGUGUUUUAGCAUUGAUGGUUGUGGGCAUUGCAGG
rnacentral:misc_RNA from 1 species